GUAGUCCUGGCCCUAAACGAUGUCCACUAGAUCGUGGCGCCUCUGACGGCGUCGCGGUCGAAGCAAAAGUGCUAAGUGGACCGCCUGGGAAGUACGGUCGCAAGGCUAAAACUCAAAGGAAUUGACGGGGGCUCACACAAGCGGUGGAGCAUGUGGUUCAAUUCGAAGCAACGCGCAGAACCUUACCUGGGCUUGACAUGCUCGGAUUAUCCUGGUGAAAGCCGGGUAGGCCCUUCGGGGUACAACGAGUACAGGUGCUGCAUGGCUGUCGUCAGCUCGUGUCGUGAGAUGUCGGGUUAAGUCCCAUAACGAGCGAAACCUUUGCCCUUAGUUGCCAUCGGGUUAAGCCGGGAACUCUAAGGGGACUGCCGGUGUCAAACCGGA
rnacentral:rRNA from 1 species